GGUGAGUAACGCGUGAGUAACCUGCCUUACACAAGGGGAUAGCCGUUGGAAACUACGAAUAAUACCCUAUGAUGUUUCUAUCUCGCAUGAGAUAUUAACCAAAGUGUUAGCGGUGUAAGAUGGACUUGCGUCUGAUUAGCUAGUUGGUGAGAAAAAGCCCACCAAGGCAACGAUCAGUAGCCGGCUUUAGAGAGUGUACGGCCACAUUGGGACUGAGACACGGCCCAG
rnacentral:rRNA from 1 species